rnacentral:rRNA from 1 species
CAAAAACAUCGCCUCCCGCAAAAAUCAAUGUAUAGGAGGUCCUGCCUGCCCAGUGACUAUAAGUUAAACGGCCGCGGUAUUUUGACCGUGCAAAGGUAGCGCAAUCACUUGUCUUUUAAAUGAAGACCUGUAUGAAUGGUGAAACGAGGGCUUAACUGUCUCCCUCUUCUAGUCAAUGAAAUUGAUCUACCCGUGCAGAAGCAGGUAUAAUAAUACAAGACGAGAAGACCCUUUGGAGCUUAAGAUAAAAGACCAAUUAUGUCAAAAGUCCUAAAAAAGACUAAACCAAAUAAUGCUGGUCCCAAUCUUCGGUUGGGGUGACCACGGGAGAAAACAAAGCUCCCAUGCGGACUGGGACUAUUCCCUAAAACUAAGAAAGACAUCUCUAAGACACAGAACAUCUGACCACAAAGAUCCGGCUAUACGCCGACCAACGGACCAAGUUACCCUAGGGAUAACAGCGCAAUCCCCUUCCAGAGUCCAUAUCGACAAGGGGGUUUACGACCUCGAUGUUGGAUCAGGACAUCCUAAUGGUGCAGCCGCUAUUAAGGGUUC